GCGGGCGGUUCAAAUUAAUAAAACACAGAAGGGGGAAAUAAUCAACACAACUACCUAAACUCUACUCCCAGACUCCCAUUAUCCCCCCCGCUGGGGAACUUUCACACUCACAAUCUGGGCUCUCUCACUCUCCACUCUCGCCUCUCUUCUCUUCCUCAAGUCACACAUCUGCUCUCUCUUUGACUCUCACCUCUUCUCUCACUGAUUGAAGGUCCAUCCCCCGCUAUAAAGUGUAAUUUUGCUCUCGCUAAUUGUGGCUAAUUCGAAGGAGCGACUUUAAGGGUUUAAUGGGCUUAGGACUUUUUCUCUGCGCUUGAAAUUGGGGUUUCACCUGGAAUUUCAAUUGGGUCUUUUAAUCAAGGUAAACUCGUCUCUAUGGUAUAAAUUUGUUGAAAAGAUGUGUGUGAGAGAGAGACAUAUGAAUAGAUGUGUGAGAGAGAGUGAGUGGAAGAGAGAGAUAGAGAGGUAGGAAUGGGGGACAGAGAGAGAUACCAAAACCAUCUCCAUUAUUUACAUAUUGUGUUAUUCUGUUAUUAUCUAUUAGAAAUGAGUAGCAGAGACUUUAACAUACCAGAUUUUCACAUACCAAGCUAUCCAGACAUAUAUCUUGUCCAUAAAAAGAUUUUACAGUACCCGGCAUUUUAAUUAAGUUGUUUAGGUUCGUAGUCAUUUAGGAUAUGGGUGAAGCAAUCAGGAUUUAAAUUCAAUAGUAGAACAAAUUUCAAAAAGUCAAUAGGUGUGGAGUUUUUCACAUUUAAGAUGUAGAAUAUUAUAAAUAUUGUAGAUAUGAUAGUAGAGUGAUUUAACGAAUUAUUUCCUUGCAUAUAUUAUGGCAAAAAAUGCCUCUAAAUAGGCGUGGAGUUUUUGUGCAUGUGUGUCUGUGAAUAGAGAACCUCGGGAGUUGGGAUUGGAAAUUUUGAGGAGGUUGUGAAUUGUGGCAGUGUCUUAUGGAGCCAAAUAUGCUGUUACUCUUCGAUUAUUAGCUCCAAUUAUGAGUAGAGUUGAAAUAUACUGACAUGUUUGUUACAUGAGUACUGAGCAGUUGCUUGAGUAUGUAAUGAUUUCUGCUGAGUAGUGGCUUUGAAUCGAAGAGUCUCAGCAAGUUAUUUCUUUUACCUAAUAUAUUGUAAAUAUAUUUUCCUUUCUAAUAAUCAGUUUUGCAACACCCUUAUCUGUUGUGGAUUAUAUAAAUUAUCAAUAAUGUUGCUUUGAUUUUGUGUAUAGUGCCUUCGGAGGAGUAAAAGAAAAUUUUCAGGUAAAUUAUUUGUUAUGUAUAACUAAACACUAUACUGUAAGGCUAUAAAUUUAUUGUAAUGUUAGCAAAGGCUUAAUUAUAGUACCAUAAAUUUGUUGUAAUGCUAGCAAAGGCUUAAUCUAAGAGUGUGAAAUGGUCCUCAGGUACGAACUAUUAGAAAUCAAGGUACGAACUUAUCUUAUUCAGAAUUCUUCGUUUGCUAUUACUUUAAUGUGUUAUGGUGUGUUAAUUCGUGUUUAGAUUAUCCUAAGAAUGAUCAUCUGUGGGAGCUUCAAGAAGCCAAUUAGGAGAGAUUGACAUCAUACAAAGCAGACCUGCUUGAUUACAAUAGUUUGUUUGAAGCCGUUAAAGGAUGUGAUGAUGUUUUUCACAUUGCAUCACCAGUCACUGAGGAAGGUUUUUGACAGUAGAAAUGGCUGAGCAGCACCAGCUUCAAACUGUCUAUCAGAAGUUUACUGCUCAGUAUAAAUUUGGUUCCCGCCUAUUGCAAGAUGUUAAGAGUACUUGUGGAAGCUUUCCUACGCAGAGUAGCCGUUUCGCUUAUGGUAACUAUACUGGUGCAGGAAUGUAGUACCCCAUGGAACGAACAUACAUAGCCACUCUGGACCUUCCUUCAGCUUUUUCUUCACCUAUCUUUUUUCAUGCACCGGCUGAUGAAGUGGAACCAGGUCCAUGAAACGGGGGACAAAUUCGAAAGUAUCUCUAGCUAGCUUUGCCACGAGCUGCACUUGCCUUUCGUGAAUUGGGUUGUUGCAAACCAGGUUUUGAUGGACAUGGGCUCACCAAUAAGCAAAGAGGUUCGGCUUGUCUCCUUUCAUACAGUGUUCACAGGCUAUUGGGGAGAAUGUGCCAAAGAGAUCUUGACACAAGCCCGAAUUUUAAUUUAAAGUUUAAUUAGAGUUUUAUAUUGUACCUAGUUAAAUUCAAAGUUUAAUUAGAGUUUUAUAUUGUACCUAACUAAUUCCAAUUUCAUGCACUAGUACUCAUGAUCUUGAUUUGGUUGAUAGGCUGGUACUGUUGUUUUUGUUCUUGGAUUGUAUUUGUUGUUGAAUGUUUGAUAAAUUUUGAUAUGGGGAAGUGUUAUUUUUAAA